rnacentral:ncRNA from 1 species
GUUACCUCAGUAUAGCUGGCAUUCUGAGAAAUAAAUUGGUUUUAUUCAGUAAAGCGCAUGAUUUGAGACAUUGGGGAGAAAACAUCUGCUGCUUACUCUCAAACUUUAAAUUGGUGAGAAGCUUAACUCGCUUAUAUGUAUGUGAGUGCUAAAUGGGCCAUUUUCCAUUAGGAGAAUUGGAGCUGUAGGCUGAACCAAAUGUGUGGUUAAGGUGCCUCACAAUAACCGUAAAUUUUCUAACUGCCAACAGCUGUUGACUACACCUCAAUUAAGCAAGCAUAUGAAAUAGAGU